rnacentral:rRNA from 1 species
UACGUAGGGGGCUAGCGUUGUCCGGAAUCAUUGGGCGUAAAGCGCGUGUAGGCGGUUCGGUAAGUCCGCUGUGAAAGUCGGGGGCUCAACCCUCGGAUGCCGGUGGAUACUGUCGAGCUUGAGUACGGAAGAGGCGAGUGGAAUUCCUGGUGUAGCGGUGAAAUGCGCAGAUAUCAGGAAGAACACCCGUGGCGAAGGCGGCUCUCUGGGACGGUACUGACGCUGAGACGCGAAAGCGUGGGGAGCGAACAGG